UUUUUUACUAAAUACUUCUAGCUCAUACAAUUAAAUUGCAAAACAAAAUAUUUUACUUUACAUUUUUUUAUUAUGUUACUAAAGUCUAUAUAAAUUCUUCUGACAUGAAAGAAAAAAAAACAUUUAUGGAUACACAAGUUUUAGAAUUUUUCAAACAGUUCAAAACAGAGAAACAAUUACAUUAGUCACAAAAAGAACUGCCCUGAGAGUAAAAAAACUGGGAUUUUCUUUUAAGAUUCUAACUUAACAUAUGUUACUGGUCAAUGAGAACACUACAUGAUACAAACAAAAAUUACACCACUACCUGUGAACAUUGCGAAACAUUAUUCAGAUAUCUCCCCUUAUGCAUGUCUUCACCUAGUAAUACAAUUUGUUAAUUCAGUUAAAAGGAGUUAUUUAUCUCCCUUCUUAUAAGAUUUAUUCUCUCUGCUUUUCUCUCAAUAAAGAACUUUAAGGUUAAAAUAUAGCAGUGGCUGAUCCAAGGAAAACAUAGGAAAUAUGCUCCCUCAAUGAUUGCCAACAUAAAUCUUUUGUUUCUCACAGUUUAUAUGCCUUAAAUUAAGGCAACAGUAGUAUACCGCUGUUCAAUAGUCAUAAGUUAAUUAAGCAACAGUAGUAUACCGCUGUUCAAUAGUCAUAAGUUUAUUAAGCAAAAUCAUAUCAUACUAACAAACUAAAAUGGAUUGAAACACUUCAAUCAUAAAAGAAAAACAACAAAACAACAGAAAUACUGAACUAAAGCAAAACAAAACGCCAACAUACAUAGAAAUGGACUGUAGAUUAAACAACGGUUUUUAUCUUAAGCAAUUUUGUUUUCUUUUGGCAGUAUAUAUUAGGUUUUCUGGAGUUACUACCAUCCCUUUCAAACAUCAGUUAUCAACUUCUAUAUAAGGUUCACUUUUUUGUCUAGAUCUAUUCUUUAUUGUAUUUGUAUAAACUCUGCUAGGUGGCUUUGUUAAGGGGAGAUAACUUAAAAAUGUUUUUCUUUGUAACUAAUAAUUCAUGGUGCAUAAAUAAGAUAACACAUCUAUGAAGCACAUGCAAAAAUAACCUCUAAGCAUUCCAAACUGAAUACCAUCUUAUUACAGAAUGGUAAUUACAUUGUUAUAUGUAUGUAUAUUCAAAGUUUAAACCAAUGAAUGUAGAUCUACAUACCUUUUUUCAGAAAAUAUGUGAUAUAUUCUUAAUAAUUUCAUAUAAUAAACUUACAAGAAAUCAUUUUCAGGCAAAUAAACAAUACCUAAGGCCGUUUUUAUUUAAUAAGUUGGUUUACGGACAUCAGCCCAAAAAACUUCGGGUAGGAGGAGGGGAAAAAAAUAAAUUUAAACUAGAUCUUUCCAGUUUUUGUUUUUUUACUUGUUUACGGAUAUCAGCCACAAA
rnacentral:lncRNA from 1 species